AGCAGCCGCGGUAAUUCCAGCUCCAAUAGCGUAUAUUAAAGUUGUUGCAGUUAAAAAGCUCGUAGUUGAAUUUCGGGGUCAGUAGGUUGGUCAUGCCACUGGUAUGUACUGGUCUCACUGAUUCCUCCUUCCUGAUGAGCCGUAAUGCCAUUAAUUUGGUGUUGCGAGGAAUCUGGACUGUUACUUUGAAAAAAUUGAGUGUUUAAAGCAGGCUAACGCUUGAAUACAUUAGCAUGGAAUAAUGAAAUAGGACGUUCGAUCUUAUUUUGUUGGUUUCUAAGAUUGACGUAAUGAUUAAUAGGGAUAGUUGGGGCAUUAGUAUUCAAUUGUCAGAGGUGAAAUUCUUGGAUUUAUUGAAGACUAACUACUGCGAAAGCAUUUGCCAAGGUAUGUUUUCAUUUAAUCAAGAACGAAAGUUUAGGGGAAUCAAAGUACGAUCAGAUACCGUGUAGUCUUAACCAUUAAACUAUGCCGACUAGGGUAUCGGGAUGUAUUGUUUAAAUUUUUUAUAGUACUUCGU
rnacentral:rRNA from 1 species